rnacentral:sRNA from 1 species
AUACACAUAAAAAAAU